rnacentral:rRNA from 1 species
GAUGAACGCUAGCAGUAUGCAUAACACAUGCAAGUCGUACGGAAAAGCAAUUUUUAGUGGCGCACGGGUGAGUAACGCGUAAGAAUUUACCUUUAGAUAGAGGAUAACAUUUAGAAAUAGAUGCUAAAACUCUAUAUGCCGAAUAGGUGAAAAACUAAUUUUGUCUAAAGAAAAGCUUGCGUCUGAUUAGCUAGUUGGUUGGAUAAAAGCCAACCAAGGCGACGAUCAGUAGCUGGUCUGAGAGGAUGAUCAGCCACACUGGAACUGAGAUACGGUCCAGACUCCUACGGGAGGCAGCAGUGAGGAAUUUUUUGCAAUGGACGAAAGCCUGACAAAGCAAUACUGCGUGAGGGAUGAAAGCCUAUGGGUUGUAAACCUCUUUUUUCAAGGAAGAAGAUAUGACAUUACUUGAAGAAUAAGCAUCGGCUAACUCUGUGCCAGCAGCCGCCGUAA